CACUCAAGGACAUUCUCAGAGUUGUCCCUCAUCCACUCCUGUAUUGUCUAGGCUGUGUGCUUAAGGUGAACCUUUUCCAGUCUUCUUCUCAUAGUGCAUCUUGGUGCCAUCUCUUUCCCAGCUAUUGAAUCCAACAUCUGCCCUUGUCCGCUGCUGUAAUAAACGUCUGAAGUCCCAAGCUGUUCGUUCUCCCAGGCUGUUGAAAUUGGAUAUACCACGCCCCUUUUUAGAGACACGCCCUUUUCCCAGAAUUUUCUCCUUUUCAAAGCUUUUUAGACCAAUGAAACAGUGAACCCAGCCCGUCGCUGUCAAAAAUACAACUUAUGAUGUCACUUAAACACUUGCAAACAGUCUCUUAAUUGCAUACCAGGUCUGAAUGCCGUCCAUAGUGUACACCAGGAUGGCCAUUGCUGGUUUGUUUGACAUCACUCUGCGCUCUAUUCUUCUGCUAUUCACAUGCAGCCUUCAUUAAACUCUUUUUUUCCCCCUUGAACUUUUAAGCCUCAGGUCCAGACUCGAAUAAGCUAUUCCUAAUUAUGGCGAGAAGAAAAAAAAUCCUGAAGAGUUCUUCUCCAUUCAUUUUCAGCGCUCGCAGAGAGUCCGGCCCCAGCUACUCAAGGAAUUUUCAUUAAACCAAUUAUCUUGAUUGGAUUGUAUCCUCCAUUGCUUACUUUAAUUGGGCCCCACUCCUAAUGAAUGGUAUGAUCCACUGCCAGAAAGGAGUAGACUUGUGUCACUAAAUGUGACACCACCGCUAAAGUAUGCCCAAAUUCUCAGCCUAA